rnacentral:rRNA from 1 species
UNUGCUGUGAAAGGCUGGGGCUUAACCCUGGUUUUGCAGUGGGUACGGGCUAACUAGAGUGCAGUAGGGGAGACUGGAGUUCCUGGUGUAGCGGUGGAAUGCGCAGAUAUCAGGAGGAACACCGAUGGCGAAGGCAGGUCUCUGGGCUGUAACUGACGCUGAGAAGCGAAAGCAUGGGGAGCGAACAGGAUUAGAUACCCUGGUAGUCCAUGCCGUAAACGUUGGGCACUAGGUGUGGGGGACAUUCCACGUUUUCCGCGCCGUAGCUAACGCAUUAAGUGCCCCGCCUGGGGAGUACGGCCGCAAGGCUAAAACUCAAAGAAAUUGACGGGGGCCCGCACAAGCGGCGGAGCAUGCGGAUUAAUUCGAUGCAACGCGAAGAACCUUACCAAGGCUUGACAUAUACUGGACUGCGUCAGAGAUGGCGUUUCCCUUCGGGGCUGGUAUACAGGUGGUGCACGGUUGUCGUCAGCUCGUGUCGUGAGAUGUUGGGUUAAGUCCCGCAACGAGCGCAACCCUCGUUCUAUGUUGCCAGCACGUGAUGGUGGGGACUCAUAGGAGACUGCCGGGGUCAACUCGGAGGAAGGUGGGGAUGACGUCAAAUCAUCAUGCCCCUUAUGUCUUGGGCUUCACGCAUGCUACAAUGGCCGGUACAGAGGGUUGCGAUACUGUGAGGUGGAGCUAAUCCCUAAAAGCCGGUCUCAGUUCGGAUUGGGGUCUGCAACUCGACCCCAUGAAGUCGGAGUCGCUAGUAAUCGCAGAUCAGCAACGCUGCGGUGAAUACGUUCCCGGGCCUUGUACACACCGCCCGUCAAGUCACGAAAGUUGGUAACACCCGAAGCCNGU